UAUGUUAUCUUACAGCAAUAUUUUGUUGUUAUUCUAUGCUAAAGAAGUACCGUAUUAAAAGAUACUUCUGUGAAAUGGUGCUCAAUGGGUCAAAUAUCUUGCAUUGAGAAAGUCUCUGAAGAUUUCUACCUUCAGUCUGUAAUGAAAAUUGAUUUAAGUUCUCUCACAUACAGAGAAUUUUUGCUUCGAAUUUAUGAAUUAAAUGUAAUUACUCAACCAAUGUCUUCAAAAAUUGGGAAGAAGUUUGUUUUUGCCCCAAUAAAAGAUACAGAAUCAUCAUUCUUUUGGAAGGCUGCCAUUAGAAUUGGAUGUUUACGAAUUAAUUCUUCAACUAACAGAAUAGAAUCUUAUCGUAUAUUAACCUUGCCACAGUUUGUUCAUACUUAUCAAGCUUUGAUGUAUCAACACUUUGCUAGUAAACUCCCACCAACUAAAUAUAUGAAUAAGAAAAUUAAUAGGAAGAAAAGUAAAAAAGAAGGUAGUAAAAAUAAAGAAGCUUUACUAACGAUGAAAGUUUGUAACAGGUUUGGUGAAAUAGAAAAGAUAAAAUCUGAUUUGGAAGAAUGUUGUAUAUGCAUGGAUAAAAAGCCCAAUAUCAUGCUACCUUGUACACAUUGUUUUUGUUUGCCUUGUAUUGAAACCUGGAAAGCUUCCAGGAAAAAUUGUCCACUCUGUCGAGAAGAAACCUCAGAAAACUUAGAAGAGACUUGGAUUAUAGCAGAAGCUCCAGAUCCAUCAGAAAUAGAUUCAGAACUACAAAAAACACUGUUAAAUCUUACAAAUAAUCCUCAGAAUUAAUUAGUAUAGGAUUGUUUUAAUGUAUGCAGAAAAGAAUCAAACAUUCUGUUCUACAGAACAUCAUUAUUGCUUUGGUUUUUACCUUAAUUUUCUGUAUUCUGUUUGACUGACUAUGUAAUAAUUAAACACUCAAUACAGUUUUUGCUUUUUAUAUUUUCAUAUUUAAAAUUACUUAAUUACAUAAAUUGUUCUUAUCAACUUUCUUGAAAAGAUUUAGUCUAUAUAAGCAUGGUAUAUAAUUUUAUUAUAUAUAUCUUGAUCAAAUUUUGUUUAUUUAUUUAUUAAUCUUGUGUCUAUAUACAGUAUAUAUUUUAUUUCUAAUAUUAAUUACAGUAAUGAAGUUUUUUUUAAUUGCUGAUGGCACACUAAACUGGAUGCAAUGAUUAAAUAUAGAUAGAAAUAUCGCAUCUGAUAAGAACUGGAAUAUUCUAUUUUAAUAUCCUUGACUUGAUUUUCAUUUUUAGAAUUAUUCUUGAUUUGAUGUAAUAAUAAUUAGAAUAGGUCCAUUGAUUUUUAUUGAUAUAAAAAGUACAUAAUAAGUCUAACUCACUAAACUAAAGCCCACUUGAAAAUGGUUUAUUUAUAUUAAAAGUCUUGAAAAUGUUAUAAAUAGUAUGAAGCAAAAUAAUUUGACUUUAUUAUUAUUAUAAAUUUAUUAUCAGUUCUGUAUAGUAAUGUAUUAGUUAUAAUAAAAUUUUUUAAUGUAAGAGAAAUGAACACUAAAAAUUCAAUAGAUUCCAAAGAUGAACUUUGCUGAAACAAACAAAAAUCUGGUACUUAACUGUUCAUGUUUUCUAAAUUCUUUACAUAAUGAUUUAUUCAUGUACUCGAAUAAACCAUUAUGCAGCUCUACUUUUCUAAUUCAUCCAUAUAAUCCUACAUAAAGUUGAAUUUUAUAAUUACAGUACUGAUAGUUUAUUUUUAUUAAUUGUAAAUGAAAUA
rnacentral:misc_RNA from 1 species